CGGCUAUUUAAGGGAGGAAGAUGGAACCCGAGGUUAUAAAAGCAGAGCUUGUGUUGCCAACACAUUUGAGCUUCAAGAGGAUGCAAAUGUAUGAGAAGUACCCAAAAGGCCAAGCAAGAGGUCGCCAUUGGAAACAUCUCAAGCAGAUUCUUCAGGCUGAGAAUUUCCAAAACUACCCUCCUGAUGAACCUAAUUAUGUUAAUAUUGAAUCCCCACCCUCAAUGCAUCCAUGCAAGAGAAUCUGUGAUUUAACUGGAUUUGAGGCACCAUACUUUGAUCCAAGAACCAACCUACGAUAUGCCAGUGCCGAUGUCUUCAAGCUUGUAAGAUCACUUCCAAAUGAGUAUGUGCAGAGGUAUCUGGCACUAAGAAAUGCAGCAGUUGUUUCCUGCAAAUACUUUCAGUAUUUGCAGGAAACAACGGUGACUAGUACCCCAUCAAGAGAGUAAGAUCCUUCUCUGUUUGUCUGUAAUUUGUGUAAUGGAUGGAAGAUGAACAGGAUGAUUUAUUGUAGCUCAUGAUUAGUUAGUUCAGAAUUUGUUAGAUCGUUCAGUUUUGUCAACAAUAAAUCUGCUCAUAUUCAUGCAAAUACUUUCAUUUC
rnacentral:misc_RNA from 1 species